GUUUUUUAAUUGAAGGCUGGAAUGAAUGGUUGGACAAGAAAUAAUCUGUCUUAAUUUAAAGUAUUGAAUUUAACUUUUAAGUGAAAAGGCUUAAAUGAUCUGGGGGGACGAUAAGACCCUAUAAAACUUUAUAUUUAAGGGUGUAAAUUAUUUUUAUUUUUAUGUUAUUAUCUAAAAGUAUUUGGUUGGGGCGACAAGGAUAGAAUGUUAAGUAACUGUUCUUUUUUUUUACAAUAAUAUUUGGUUUAAUGAUCCUAAAAAGGAUUAAAGAUUAAGUUACUUUAGGGAUAACAGCGUAAUUUUCUUUGAGAGUUCUUAUCGACAGGAAAGUUUGCGACCUCGAUGUUGAAUUAAAGGUUCUUUAUAGAGUAGAGACUAUAAUAGAAGGUCUGUUCGACCUUUAAAAUUUUACAUGAUUUGAGUUCAGACCGGUGUGAGCCAGGUU
rnacentral:rRNA from 1 species